GGCUCAGGAUGAACGCUAGCGGCAGGCUUAACACAUGCAAGUCGAGGGGCAUCGGGAGUAGCAAUACUGCCGGCGACCGGCGCAGGGGUGCGUAACGCGUGAGCAACAUGCCCGUAUCAGGGGGGAUAAUCCAUGGAAACGUGGUCUAAUACCCCAUAGUAAUUAUGUAAGGCAUCUUAUAUAAUUUAAAGCUUUGGUGGAUACGGAUUGGCUCGCGUGACAUUAGCUGGAUGGUAAGGUAACGGCUUACCAUGGCUACGAUGUCUAGGGGUUCUGAGAGGAAGGUCCCCCACACUGGAACUGAGACACGGUCCAGACUCCUACGGGAGGCAGCAGUGAGGAAUAUUGGACAAUGGAUGGAAAUCUGAUCCAGCCAUGCCGCGUGCAAGGAAGACGGCCCUAUGGGUUGUAAACUGUCUUUUGUAUGGGAGCAAUAAGGGCUACGUGUAGUCCGAUGAGAGUACCAUACGAAUAAGCACCGGCUAACUCCGUGCCAGCAGCAGC
rnacentral:rRNA from 1 species